AAUAAUUCAAUUAGAAGGAACUUUUUCCAUCUCUGUCUGGACUGUAUUUUGAGUUAGCUAGAGAUUUAUGAGAUUGUACCUAUCGUAAACAAGAAAUAGCUAUAUUUCCUGUCAUGACCCUCCUUGUGAUCAUUGCAGGUUAUUUUUUUCUACAAAAUACUACAUGACACCCUUAUCCCACUACCCUCCAAAAAACCUGGUUGAUUGAAAGAUGGGUGAAGUAGUCCUUUGGCAGUAAACAACCUUGUUGCAGUAACAAGACUUUGCUCUUCCAUCUGUUCCAUUGACCAGCUACUACAGAGGGAAUUUAAAGACCAGCAGAAAAUUGAAAUGGGAGACUUUGUAUGAGAGGAAAACUGGAUAUGAAUUCAGUGAUGAGUCUGCUAGAAACUAGAAAGGAUAUGUUGUCAUACAGGCAUCUCCUUGUCCAAAAGAUCAUCAUCAAAAUGCUAUGAUCCUGUGCCAACUUCCCUUAGAACUCUGCUUCAAAAAGCAGGUAAAGAAAUGACCCAUGCCUUAGAACCAAAGUUUGAAGUCCAAGAUAAACACAGCUCAUAAUCAGACAGACUAUACGAAUCUUUACAUCUGCUUCAUGAGUACGAAUGUGUUCUACAUAAAUACUGUUUAAUCAUAAAUGUUUAGCAGUCACCCAGAUUACCUGAUUGGAAUCUCUAUUAAGGGAAAGCUGAGUUUCUUAUUUCAUAAAUUGGAGAGAAGCAGGCUGUGUAUAUGCCCAUUGGUUCUAGGUGGACAGUGAAACUGAAAUAAAAGUUUUCAGGCUUAAGCAUUUGGUAUUUAAUAUUUUCUUCUUGAUAUGGGAGUGAGUUAUUGCAUUUUGUGCAAGUUGUUUGUUUUUGUAAAGUUUGAAAAUAAUGCUUUGGUAAACUGAACUGAAGGCGAGGAACUGAAAUUUUUCCACUUUUGAAAUUCUGAGUGGUAAAAAGAGCAAAAGAUGAACAUAAAGACAUUUCACUGUAGUUGCUGCCUGAAUAUUCAUGAGGAGGACAAUCCCAUUCUGACUGUAGCCAGUGAAUAAUUCUGUAGCACAUCUCUAACUAUUUGACACUGGAGAGAAGGCCUGAUAGGAUAAGUGGCAGGAAAGUAUUAUGACAAAUAAAUAAUAAGAACAACAAAUGUUUACAGUUCUUAUGGAGUAAUGAUUCAUUCUUACUGAGAUAUUUCACAGUCUGUUUCAGGAGAACUUUCUAACCAGAUACACACCUUCUACCUCUCUCCCUUCUUUGCAUGGCAAUGAAAGGAACUCUUUCUACUCUUUUCCCACCUCAGUAUGUGAUGUUUUGAAGGUUUCCAAUGCAUUGUUCACAGGGCUGUGCUUUUCAGAAUUUCUUCUGCCAAAAUUCAAGCUUUGCAGAACAGACACGUACCAGCCUGGAAAUACUAUCUGCUACCUCUGAACAAAAUGUCAGAUUCUGGAUGCGAUCCUAUCUGGCCUGCAUAGCUUGCCCAAGAUAUUGCAAAUCUAUUUCAGACAGUAACAACAAUUCCUAGACCUUUUUCCAGGUCUCUCCCUUGUGAUCUUGUUUAGCUCUGUGGUUAGGAACCUCUACUGCUUCAAAAAGUUAUUCCAAUGAGAUUGCAAAGCUGUAAACGAUUGUAAGGUCUACUUUUCAGAGACCUUUAUAAAAUGCUCCCUCCCAGUUUUUACCUUGCUUCUAGUUGCGAGAGAGAACAUCCGAGGAAACAAAGAGGAAUGCAAGUAACUAGGUAAAUGAGUCUGAUCAAAAUUGUAUCUACAGGAAGCAUUAAACUGCCAGUAGUUCUUUUGUUGAUUUUUCUCUAGUUUCAGUUUUGCUCGUGUGUCUGUCAGCAUAACAGAAUAUCUUGAACAUUAAAGGGAGCAAAAGAAAAUAAAUGCUUACUCUAGCAUUAAGAGAUUGAUCCUCAGCUACUGGGCUGAAAGCCUCUUAAAAGGGGCUAAAACCUUCAGCUCCUUUUGAUUUGAUUACAUGCACUAAUCAUCUGUUCCAGCUUAAGUCAUGGUGAGAGAUCUGGGUGCAAAUGCUUCACAGGCUGUUCUCUAUUGCUCUGCUCACAGUCACAGUAAGGUCAAGCUGGGAGGUGAGACCAGUGCUACUUGGGAAUGUAGUUAGCUGUCAGUUAUCUAGCCAGCAGUUGCUGCUGGCACCUUUAAUCAGUAGAAGGUUUGCAGGAAGUGACCAAAUCUCAGUAUGAAGUGACACCAAAACAGCCUGCAGUGGUUCUGCCAUAACCCUGGUUAGUAAUGCAAGCAGUUACACUGGGAAAAAUAUGAAUUUUAAGUUCCUCAGAGAUGUCUUGAACAAAGACUCCUAGUUAAAGCUGUUUCAAGCUUGCACAUCUGGCAAAUGUUUCUAUGCUUUUAAUCCUUAGGAAAAGUCUGUAGUUUGAGAAAAUAUGGAUUAUGGAACAGUUUUUGUCUGCUCUUCACUUGAAUUGCUGGGUUUAAGCACCUUUUUGAAUUAGUGUGUUUUGAACCUGUUAGCUUUGGUCCUUGGAUGUUCUCCACUGAAAUGCAUUCAUUGUAAUUCAAUACUAAUAAAUGCUAUCACAGUAGAAAACUUUAUUUAAUGUGUAUGACAGAAUAAUAUUUAGGAUAAAAUGUCUUCCUUUUCAAAGCUUUUUCCUCAAAUUAAAGAGAUACAAAAUACUAAAAAGAAUGAAUAUUCAUAUGCUACAGAACAAAAAACUGAAACCCAAAGAUAAGCCUGAAAUCUUUACAGUCAAGCAGUAAUUGUGCAGACCUAUUUGAAGUGCUCUGUUUUUCAAAGAUGGUUAACAUCUAUGUGCUUUUAAUGGUUCCAGGCUUUUCUCCAAAAUUUACAUCAAAAGGUCUGAUAUUCAGAGACAAAUAAUGGAGAUACAAUGUGUAAACAUCUUUUUUUCCUUGCUAGCAUGCAUUCCAUGAUCCUUGUCCUGCUUUCUAACAAGCAGAUCAUACUCUUCUGGAAGCCUUUAACGCACUUUUCAGCAGUGACUCUUAUGAACCUGUCUUUCAAAGCUUAGUGAUUCUGUGGCAAUUCACUGAUCUACUAGAGUCCUUGUGUACAACACUUGUAGCUAUAAAACUUCCAUGCAGAAUGUUUUUCAGUCUUUUAAAGCUGU